CCCUCUGAAGUACUCCCGCCGUCGACCCAUUCGCCGCUACCUCCGCCUCCCGUCAUCGCCGCUGCCUCCGCCUCCGGUUGCCGCCGCCUCCAGCUCGAUCGGGCUUUGCCUCCGCGUCCGGCGCUGCCAAAUCCGCCUCCGCCUUCGCCGCCUCAAAGAAGGAGGUUGCAUAAGAUGUCCUCUGAAAUGGAUGACUUUGGCAUUUCAGUUAAUGAAGCCACACCUGGAAAUGUGGAUGGAGCAGGUCUGUAUGGGACUGGCCUGAAGAAUGAAGUUGGUGAAUACAAUUGUUUUCCGAACGUCAUUAUACAGUCCUUAUGGCAUGUAAGAUGUUUUCAGGAUAAAUUUUUGGGGAGAUCACUGUCAAAGCAUGUGCAUGUUGGAGAUCCUUGUGUUACCUGUGCACUGUAUGAUAUUUUUACUGCCGAGCAUGGCAUCAACAGAUUUGCGAAGAGAGACUGUGGCCCCUACUUCUCUCAGGAUUGCUCUGAGUAACUUAUACCCAGACAGUAAUUUUUUUCAGCAGGUAGAUGCUGGGUUAAUGCUAUGAAAAGUUCUGAUUGACCCGAAUUUCAAGCUUCUAACUCAAUGGAUAUAGGUGAUAAUGUGCAUUGGACAAAGGCAGACAUGGACCCAAUGGUCGUUGACACAACUAUUAAUUCAAAGAAAAUAAAGGAAAGAAAGGAAAGAAACUAAGUAAUAUGAAAGAGACAAAAGACAAGGAAGGCCCAAAGACUGGUAAACAUGUCUUCAUAUCUCCAGGUCAAUGAGACAUCAGAACUCUGAAGGAAGCAACUUUUGUCUUGGACUACAUGAAUAGUUCUAUGACUAUAGUGUUUUGGUGUACAUUUUUGUAUAGUAUUUACGGUUGUCAAAGUGUUGCUUUUAGUUGAAUAUUUUUUUUUUUUUUUGUAGUUCGUUGGCAAUUAACACUUAUAUAAAUACUAUUUUUGGUGUGUAAAUGUUAAUGAAUAAUGAUGUUUUUUAUUUUGGUAGAACAUAUAUUACUUUGAAGUUUGUUGAAUGAUAGGUUUAAUUUUAUGAAUUUUAUUUUAAUUUGAUAUGGACAAUGAUAUAUAAGUUUGGUAGUUUACAUCAAAACAGGAUGUUGUC